rnacentral:lncRNA from 10 species
CAUUUUGUCCCAGUCAGUCCGGAGGCUGCGGCUGCAGAAGUACCGCCUGCGGAGUAACUGCAAAGAUGCUGUCCGUGCGCGUUGCUGCGGCCGUGGUCCGCGCCCUUCCUCGGCGGGCCGGACUGGUCUCCAGAAAUGCUUUGGGUUCAUCUUUCAUUGCUGCAAGGAACUUCCAUGCCUCUAACACUCAUCUUCAAAAGACUGGUAAGUUAUUAUUUCUCAGUCUACGCCGCACUUACUAGAUGAAGAUAUAAAUUACAUACAUCGUAUAACUGUGAGAUGGGAUUUUGCUGUGUUGGCCAGGCUGGUCCAAACUCUUGGCCUCAAGUGGUCCGCCCGCCUCCCAAAGUGCUGGUAUUACUGGCGUGAGCCACUGCACCCAACCCCUGUAUGCUAAGAUGAAGAAUACCACCUAUACUACCCUGUGUGCCUUGAAAGAGAAAGACACACUUUGUUAACA